rnacentral:rRNA from 1 species
AACGAACGCUGGCGGCAUGCCUAACACAUGCAAGUCGAACGAUGCUUUCGGGCAUAGUGGCGCACGGGUGCGUAACGCGUGGGAAGCUGCCCGUGGGCUCGGAAUAACAGUGAGAAAUUGCUGCUAAUACCGGAUGACGUAUUCGGACCAAAGAUUUAUCGCCCAGGGAUGAGCCCGCGUAGGAUUAGCUAGUUGGUGGGGUAAUGGCCUACCAAGGCGACGAUCCUUAGCUGGUCUGAGAGGAUGAGCAGCCACACUGGGACUGAGACACGGCCCAGACUCCUACGCGAGGCAGCAGUGGGUAAUAUUGGACAAUCGGCUCAAGCCUGAUCCAGCAAUGCCGCGUGAGUGAUGAAGGCCUUAGGGUUGUAAAGCUCUUUUACCCGGGAUGAUAAUGACAGUACCGGGAGAAUAAGCUCCGGCUAACUCCGUG